rnacentral:rRNA from 1 species
AUUGAACGCUGGCGGCAUGCUUUACACAUGCAAGUCGAACGGUAACAGGCCGCAAGGUGCUGACGAGUGGCGAACGGGUGAGUAAUGCAUCGGAACGUGCCCAGUCGUGGGGGAUAACGCAGCGAAAGCUGCGCUAAUACCGCAUACGAUCUAUGGAUGAAAGCGGGGGACCGUAAGGCCUCGCGCGAUUGGAGCGGCCGAUGUCAGAUUAGGUAGUUGGUGGGGUAAAAGGCUCACCAAGCCAACGAUCUGUAGCUGGUCUGAGAGGACGACCAGCCACACUGGGACUGAGACACGGCCCAGACUCCUACGGGAGGCAGCAGUGGGGAAUUUUGGGACAAUGGGCGCAAGCCUGAUCCAGCAAAUGCCGCGUGCAGGAAGAAAGGCCUUCGGGUUGUAAACUGCUUUGUACGGAACGAAAAGGACUCUGGUUAAUACCUGGGGCACAUGACGUACCGUAAGAAUAAGCACCGGCUAACUACGUGCCAGCAG